UACAGAGAGUGCAAACGUUGUUCGGAAUUACUGGGCUUAAAGCGCACGUAGGCGGCGCCGCAAGUGUGGGGUGAAAGCCCACGGCUUACCCGUGGAAUUGCCUGGCAGCACUGCGGUGCUAGAGUGUGGUAGGGGAGAGCGGAACUCCUGGUGGAGCGGUGAAAUGCGUAGAUAUCAGGAGGAACACCGGUGGCGAAGGCGGCUCUCUGGUCCACAACUGACGCUGAGGUGCGAGGGCUAGGGGAGCAAACGGG
rnacentral:rRNA from 1 species